CCUACGGGAGGCAGCAGUGGGGAAUUUUGGGCAAUGGGCGCAAGCCUGACCCAGCAAUGCCGCGUGAGCGAUGAAGCCCUUCGGGAUGUAAAGCUCGGAAGUAAGGAAAGAAAAGUUGCAGGAUAAUACCCUGUAGCGCUGACGGUACCUUAUCUAAGCCCCGGCUAACUACGUGCCAGCAGCCGCGGUAAU
rnacentral:rRNA from 1 species